UACAGAGGGUGCAAGCGUUAAUCGGAAUUACUGGGCGUAAAGCGUGCGUAGACGGUUAUUUAAGUCAGGUGUGAAAGCCCCGGGCUCAACCUGGGAAUUGCAUUUGAGACUGAAUAGCUAGGGUGCGGAAGAGGGAAGCGGAAUUUCCGGUGUAGCGGUGAAAUGCGUAGAUAUCGGAAGGAACACCAGUGGCGAAAGCGGCUUCCUGGUCCAGCACCGACGUUCAGGCACGAAAGCGUGGUGAGCGAACAGG
rnacentral:rRNA from 1 species